rnacentral:rRNA from 1 species
CCUACGGGAGGCAGCAGUGGGGAAUUUUGCGCAAUGGGCGAAAGCCUGACGCAGCAACGCCGCGUGAGUGAUGAAGGCCUUCGGGUCGUAAGGCUCUGUCAGAGGGGAAGAACCACCCGAGGGUUAAUAUCCUUCAGGCCUGACGGUACCCUCAAAGGAAGCACCGGCUAACUCCGUGCCAGCAGCCGCGGUAAU